AGAACCUACAGUGAAUAUAUACCCAGUGAAUGGGAAGCGCCAGUUAACCUGUAGGUGCCGAGUGUAGACUUCACGCGCAUCGUCUAUUACAGCUGCUAAGAUGGGUCGUUCAUGCAGAGUAAGUUCUGUCGCGCAUCUGAAGCUUUUGAUGCCUCUGAUGCUCUUUGUUGGCAUUUCUGAGGGAUCACCACUCGAUUAUGAAAGGUGGAAAGUUUUAGCUGUUAAUCUUGAGAAGGUGAGUGGGGACGCUUAUCCUCCCACCCUAAGCAAACUUGAAGAUAUGGAAGCGGAGGGAUACUUGGUGGUCCUGUCUGCAUCGAAAGACCAAAGG